CGAGCAAUUCAAUAAGAAUUAUUUUCCGGAAGUUCAAGUGUCCACGGUGAGAUCCUCUUGAAGGUCUCCUUGCGCGCCUGGCAAUUUAAUAGUGGAUAAUCACACAAUUAACCCACUUAUCAAGAAAGAUUGUACACUAGUACAAUCUAAGAAUUAUUUUGCAAAAAGGAACCUCAAUUACACGUAAAUCGAGGUUCGACUUGCCUUUUUAUUAGGUACAAUAUUAUUUGAGUUUUUUUUAUCAUGAAAAUCGUAAGCAAAACGUUUUAAGAAUAUCGAAAGAAUAAAGAGUUCUUGAAAAACUCUAUUUCUUUGAAGUUGGAAAAUUUUUCAGUUUUACGUUAAAUCUUUGAAAAAUCAUAACUCGCUCGGUAUAAGUCGAGAAUUGGAAAAAUUUAUACCGUUGGAAACCUCUUAGAGAGUACUAUAAGUUCCUAGAAGACACUUUUCCAUGAAUCGAAGUGAAAAGUGGUCAAAAAUGAGCUUGAAGACGCAGGGUUGGUUUUCAUGGCAGAAUUAAGUUGGAUUUCGGCCAACUUUGGAAAUUCGGCACGAUUCACACGUUGCAAACCGGCCUCUGAAAUUUUCAGCUCAAUUAGUGUUGCAAGUUAAGUGUAUGACAAAACAAGCGGAUCAAGAAUCGGAGUUUCGAGCACCGAGAUACGGUAGCCCGAAGUUGAGCAAAUUCAAGACUGGAUGAGAAUUUUCCAGAUUUGAACCUCUAACUUUAGUAAUUCAAUUGGGUAUCGAAACGAACUUGAAUUGGCACAAAAAUUGGCAGUAUUUCAAUACUAUAUGGAAAGUAUCUCUCUAUCGAAUUUCGGGGAAAAAUACCUUCGGCAAGGUAGUUAAUUAGCCCACCAAAGUUCAAGAAAAAUCCUAAGGCAAUCUGCCUUUGACUUGCAUUUCCCAAUUUCCAAUCGUCUAACCAAGAAAGUUAUCCAACCAUGGUUCAUUUGUGAAAUAAGGGUCUAAGAUACAUCCAUGAUAUCUUUGGUAAGUGUUUAAUAUCAAGAACAUCAACUAACAAGUUCACUCCAAGAUUUUGUUCCAAACCAGUCCAAAGAUUAGGGUUUUCCAAAACAGAGCAGUCCACUUGCUUCAGUCACAACUCAGUCAUUAUAGCUCGAAUCGAGCAUGGCUUACGCCGUUGGAAAAUGCGUUCAUAGAGUUAAAAUAUCACAGAAGAAAUCGUUUCCAAAUUCGGCACCCAUCUGGUUCAAAUUCUGGCAUCAAGUUGCUGCCUGAACACUUCAUUCCAGAAGAACAGAGUAACAGGACAGCGAACUUAAAACAUUUGGUUCGGCUUGCUCACAAAGAAUCAGAACGUGCAUUAUAUACCAAAUUAAAGCUAGGAAUGUCUAGUUUCAAACGCCACCGACGGCACAUGAUUUUGACAUCCAAGGACAGAGUUAUAGCCAAAAUACUACUGCUGGUCAGAGCAUACGCGAAUCAGUUUUCCAGAUUUGCUGGUUUCUAAAAAAAAUUCAUUUGCCCAUUCAAACCUCAUUAUUUUUCAAUGAAAUUUUUCACACAUCUAAUACAUCCUACAAACAUCCAAUUCAAGCCAUUAAACCAUUAAAAAUUGGCCUGGAAAUGGCCGAACAUGGCAGGGGCAAAAUCGGAAAUUUUAGCUUCUUACACCCAAUGAAGUUCCUACCAAUUACCCACCACUAAUGCAUCAUUAAUAUCACUAAACCAACAAUAUAAUCACCAUCAAUCAUCACAUCAGCAACAACAACCCAAGUGUGGGAAUUCCAAGAGCCCACAAUCACAUUUUUACACCAUAAUCAAGUAACUAAGUGCAUGCAUGAGCUUAAUCUUGUCAUAUAAUCUCCAAAAGAUAAGAAUCCAAGGGUUGAUCAUUACCUACUCCUUUGGUUUGCAAGGUCAGAAUUUUCGGCCCUCUUGAAGCUCCAAGAAACCGUGAAAGCUCCCCUCCUCCUUAGCUAGAUAUAAUCUCCAAGAGGUUUGCUAAGUGGUCUCCAAGUUUGGUGUGAUUUGGAGGUGAUUUGGGGUGGUUUUGGGGAAGAUUAGUGUGCAGAAUUUUUUUGAACAAGGAGUUAGAGAGAGAGGGUGUCUUGGCCGGCCAUGAGGAGAGAGAAGAGAG
rnacentral:lncRNA from 1 species